UACGGAGGGGGCUAGCGUUGUUCGGAAUUACUGGGCGUAAAGCGCACGCAGGCGGAUCGAUAAGUCAGGGGUGAAAUCCCGGGGCUCAACCUCGGAACUGCCUUUGAUACUGUCGAUCUCGAGUCCGGGAGAGGUGAGUGGAAUUCCUAGUGUAGAGGUGAAAUUCGUAGAUAUUAGGAAGAACACCAGUGGCGAAGGCGGCUCACUGGCCCGGUACUGACGCUCAGGUGCGAAAGCGUGGGGAGCAAACAGG
rnacentral:rRNA from 1 species